ACGAACGCUGGCGGCGUGGAUUAGGCAUGCAAGUCGAACGACGGUAGCCUUCGGGCUAUACGGAGUGGCGAACGGGCUGAGUAACACGUGAACAAUCUGCCCUUACGUUCCGGAUAAUUGGCCGAAGGCCUUGCUAAUACCGGGGGAGGAUCGGUCUUGGCAGUCUUAGACCGAGGGAAGUCGCAGACGCGCAAGGAGGAGUUCGCGGAUUAUCAGGUAGUUGGUGAGGUAAUGGCUCACCAAGGCCUACGAGCAUUAGCUGGUCUGAGAGGAUGGUCAGCCCACAUUGGAACUGAGACACUGCUCCAGACUCCUACGGGAGGCAUGCAGUCGAGAAUCUUGGUCAAUGCACGAAAGCUGAUACCAGCCACUGCCGCGUGAAGGAUGAAGGCCACUCUGGGUUGUAAACUUCUUUUACGGCGGGAAGAAGAUAAUGACGGUAUCCCGUAGAAUAAGCCACGGCUAACUACGUGCCAGCAGCCGCGGUAAUACGUAGGUGGCAAGCGUUGCUCCGGAUUUACUGGGCGUAAAGCGAACGCAGGCGGACCUUAAGUAGGAAUGUGAAAGCGUGGAGCUCAACUCUAACCUGCCUCCUAUACUGAGAGUCUUGAGUGCCGGAGAGGAAGACGGGAACUGCAGGUGUAGCGGUGAAAUGCGUUAGAUAUCUGCGAGGAACACCAAUGGCGAAAGCGGCUCUACUGGCCCGGAUACUGACGCUCAGGUUCGAAAGCGCAAUGGGUAGCAAACAGGAUUAGAUACCCUGGUAGUCUUGCGCCUUAAGACGAUGUUAGCUAGGUGCUUGGGGCAGGAACCCUCGGCUGGCAGGCCGCAGCUAACGCAGAUUAAGCUGAAUCCAGCCCUGGGGACUACGGUCGCCGCAAGGUUAAAGCUCAAAGGGAAUUGACGGGGGACCGCACAAGCGGUGCGAGCAUGUGGCUUAAUUCGAUAGCAACGCGAAGAACCUUACCAGAGGCCUUGACAUGUAACUGCAAGUCCGCCGAAAAGCGAUCCCUUCGAGGGCUGGCUACACAGGUGGCUGCAUGGCUGUCGUCAGCUCGUGUUGUGAGAUGUUGGGUUAAGUCCCGCAACGAGGCGCAACCCUCACUGCUUUGUUGCCAGCGAGCUAAUGUCGGGAACUCGAACAGAACUGCCUCAUGAUAAAGAGGAGGAAGGCGGGGAUGACGUCAAGUCAUCAUGCCCCUUACGCCCUGGGCUGCACACAUGCUACAAUGGCUGAUACAAAGGGCUUAGCAAAGCUCGGCGAGAGUAAGCUAAUCUCAUAAAAAUCAGUCUCAGUUCGGAUCGGAGUCUGCAACUCGACUGCCGUGAAGUUGGAAUCGCUAGUAACCGCCGGUCAGCAAUACGGCGGUGAAUACGUUCCCCGGGCUCCUUGCACACACCGCCCGUCACGCCCAUCGAAGUCUGUCCUUAGCCCGAAGUCAGUGCGCUAACCGCACAGGAAGGCAGCUGCCGAAGGUAGGGCCUGAUGACUGGGUGA
rnacentral:rRNA from 1 species